GAUGAACGCUCGCUAUAGGCUUAACACAUGCAAGUCGAGGGGAAACGCCAUUAGCGCUUGCUUCCAUCGUCGUCCACCCGCGCACGUGUGAGUAACGCAUCUCCCCCCUGCCUCUGGGCUAGCGCUACCCCAUCCGAACUCGUCCCGCUACAUUCUGCAGUCGCCGGAGGUCAUCUGAUUUCGACGAAAAUUGUCAUCGGUUAGGCAUGGGGAUGCGUCUGAUUAGCUUGUUGGCGGGGUAACGGCCCACCAAGGCGACGAUCAGUAGGGGUUCUGAGAGGAAGGUCCCCCACACUGGAACUGAGACACGGUCCAAACGCCUACGGGAGGCAGCAGUGAGGAAUAUUGGUCAAUGGGCGAGAGCCUGAACCAGCCAAGUAGCGUGAAGGAGGACGGCCCUAUGGGUUGUAAACUGCUUUUAUGAGGGGAUAAAGUGAGGGACGUGUACUUCAUUGCAGGUACCGUAUGAAUAAGGACCGGCUAAUUCCGUG
rnacentral:rRNA from 1 species